AAGCCAAUCAGAGGCAGAGUAGGGCGGGUCAUGACUUAGCCAUCCUAGGAAAAAAAAAAUUGCGUCCUGGGCAAAGUACAGUCCGCUGCAGCCGUAGAACGGACGUGUAUCUACACGACACACCCACUUUACGACACCGACUUGGUGAGGUUUAGGCAUUAGCAGUGAGAUGGUUUGGGUUACUGUGUGUUCAGACUACCAGCGACAAAGCAACAGGCUACAAGUUAUUUUCAAUAGAAGCAGGCGACAUGAAGCUACAAACUGACGCCUGACACUUCUUGUUGCAUGACGGGCGUGACGCCCUACAAAGCAAAGUUGAGCUGGUCUCAACUUUUUUUAGCGCUGCAAUGAUGCAGUGGAGUGUCAACCAAUCAUAUGUUUUAGCUUCACCAUUUCCCCUUCCUUUUCUGCUCCAUCUAAAAUAAUAAAUUUAUAAAAUGCAGUUUGGCAGAGGGUGGCAGCUAUUGCAGGAAUACCAGGAGGGAAACGCUGUGGUCUGUUGCAUCCCUGCGAGCAGAAGGGUGAGCAGCGCGGCAGCCAGCAGAGGAGCGAAGCCCCAG